AUUGAACGCUGGCGGCGUGCUUAACACAUGCAAGUCGAUCGGUAACAGGUGUAGCAAUACAUGCUGACGAGAGGCGGACGGGUGAGUAAUGCUUGGGAAUCUGCCUAUUAGUGGGGGACAACCCGGGGAAACUCGGGCUAAUACCGCAUACGCUCUACGGAGGAAAGCCGGGGACCGCAAGGCCUGGCGCUAAUAGAUGAGCCCAAGUCGGAUUAGCUAGUUGGUAGGGAACGGCCUACCAAGGCGACAAUCCGUAGCUGGUCUGAGAGGACGACCAGCCACACCGGAACUGAGACACGGUCCGGACUCCUACGGGAGGCAGCAGUGGGGAAUAUUGGACAAUGGGGGCAACCCUGAUCCAGCGACGCCGCGUGGGUGAAGAAGGCCUGCGGGUUGUAAAGCCCUUUCGGUGGGGAAGAAAAGCUUGGUGUGAAUAGCGCCGAGUCUUGACGUUACCCAAAGAAGAAGCACCGGCUAACUCCGUGCCAGCAGCCGCU
rnacentral:rRNA from 1 species